rnacentral:rRNA from 1 species
GGGUAAUCACCAGCUUAACUGGUUGAAUUCUGCAGAGACUGCCAGACUAGCCUUUGGAAGAGGUGUGGGGUACUCUAGGGGUAGGGAUAAAAUUCUGUCAUCCUUAGAGGACCCCCAGUUGCGAAGGCCUCUCACUGAAACGGAUCCCACGGGCGGGGACAAAGCCUAGGGGCCCCAACCGGAUUAAAUUCCCGGGUAGCCCUAGGUGUAAACGCUGGGAACUUGGUGUCGGGAGUCCGCAAUGGGCCCCCGGUGCCAGAGUGAAGAUGUUAAGUUCACUGCCUGGGGAGUACCGUCGCAAGGCUGAAACUUAAAGGAAUUGGGGGGGGAACACCGCAACCUGAAGAUUGUGCGGUUUUAUUGGAUUCCACGCCGGAAAACUCCCCAUGGCCGACGGACAAAUGAAAGCCAGUGUAACCAGCUUGCUGGAUUGCUCGAGAGGUAGUGGAUGGCCGUCGUCUGUUCGUACCGCAAGGCGUUCUGUUAAGUUGGAUAACGAACGACACCCUCAUUCCUAUUUGCCAGCUGCGUCCCCGGACGCGAGGCACUAUAGGGAGACCGCUGUCGAUAAGGUAGAUGAAGGAGAGGGCGACGGUAGGUCAGUAUGAUCCGAAUGCCAUGGGCUACACGCGCAAUACAAUAGAAUGGACCUAAGGCUGCAACUCCCGAGAGGAAAGACGCUAUCCUGCACCCCGUUCGUAGUUCGGAAUGAAGGCUGUCACUCCCUCUCAUGAAGGUGGAUUAUGUAGUAAUC